GACGAACGCUGGCGGCGUGCUUAACACAUGCAAGUCGAACGGAAAGGCCCUGCUUGUGUGGGGUGCUCGAGUGGCGAACGGGUGAGUAACACGUGAGUAACCUGCCCUUGACUUUGGGAGAACUUCAGGAAACUGGGGCUAAUACCGGAUAGGAGCUCCUGCUGCAUGGUGGGGGUUGGAAAGUUUCGGCGGUUGGGGAUGGACUCGCGGCUUAUCAGCUUGUUGGUGGGGUAGUGGCUUACCAAGGCUUUGACGGGUAGCCGGCCUGAGAGGGUGACCGGCCACAUUGGGACUGAGGUACGGCCCAGACUCCUACGGGAGGCAGCAGUGGGGAAUAUUGCACAAUGGGCGGAAGCCUGAUGCAGCAACGCCGCGUGCGGGAUGACGGCCUUCGGGUUGUAAACCGCUUUCGCCUGUGACGAAGCGUGAGUGACGGUACUGGGUAAAGAAGCACCGGCUAACUACGUG
rnacentral:rRNA from 1 species